UACGAAGGGGGCUAGCGUUGCUCGGAAUUACUGGGCGUAAAGCGCGCGUAGGCGGGUCAUUAAGUCAGGGGUGAAAUCCUGGAGCUCAACUCCAGAACUGCCCUUGAUACUGGGGAUCUUGAGUCCGGAAGAGGUGAGUGGAACUCCGAGUGUAGAGGUGAAAUUCGUAGAUAUUCGGAAGAACACCAGUGGCGAAGGCGGCUCACUGGUCCGGUACUGACGCUGAGGUGCGAAAGCGUGGGGAGCAAACAGG
rnacentral:rRNA from 1 species